AUUGAACGCUGGCGGCAUGCCUUACACAUGCAAGUCGAACGGUAACGCGGGGCAACCUGGCGACGAGUGGCGAACGGGUGAGUAAUGCAUCGGAACGUGCCCAGUAGUGGGGGAUAGCCCGGCGAAAGCCGGAUUAAUACCGCAUACGACCUACGGGUGAAAGGGGGGGAUCGCAAGACCUCUCGCCAUUGGAGCGGCCGAUGUCAGAUUAGGUAGUUGGUGGGGUAAAGGCCUACCAAGCCGACGAUCUGUAGCUGGUCUGAGAGGACGACCGGCCAAGCUGGGACUGAGACGCGGCCCAGACUCCUACGGGAGGCAGCAGUGGGGAAUUUUGGACAAUGGGCGCAAGCCUGAUCCAGCCAUGCCGCGUGCGGGAAGAAGGCCUUCGGGUUGUAAACCGCUUUUGUCAGGGAAGAAAUCUUUUGAGUUAAUACCUCGGAAGGAUGACGGUACCUGAAGAAUAAGCACCGGCUAACUACGUGCCAGCCGCCGCGGUAACAC
rnacentral:rRNA from 1 species